GUUGAAAAGGGUCAGUGCGGAGGCACGAGGGUCCCUGUCUCCUAAAUCACAUCCCAGCGCGAGCUCAAUGGACCAAAGCCGCAUCCUCCAUUUCCAUUAGGUUAAAACACUUCUAGGGGUCUAACACACAGUCACAUACAAACACAUACACAGCAACGGGGUAUGUUUUUCCUAUGGGGUCACUGAAAUGUUCUCAGAUAUGAAAACCCAGCCAAUAUCAAUCCAACACUACUGUAUCUAAAUCAUUAUCCUGUUUGAUGCCUUUCACUGGAAUCGUGCAAUGACUGUGAUAUUGCAUUCAUGCUUUUGCUGUAGGAUUUCAACUCCAUUGGAAUCUUUUCUCUUCGCCUAUUGACCACUUUUGAAGGUUAUUGAUGCAAAGCACUCCAACAGCCACACAGCAUGGUGAUAGGCUCUAUUGAGAGAUGUAUGACUGCAGACGAAAUAUACAGACUAGAGCACCCAAUCGCAAGCACACGUUUUGCUUGCCUACAAGGCCAAAAAUGGACCAGCGCCAUCUUACCUCAGUGACCUCAUCACAUCUCGCACUGCACCACGCUGUCUGAGAUCUUCCAGCACUGCUCGACUGGUACCACCUUCUCUCAGAAUGAGAGAUGUUCCUAUCAAAGCAGAUAGUAAGUGUAUGCUUUUCUCUGGUUUUUGCAUGCCCCUCCAUAUGUUUGGGCUGCAGCUGGAAGCUGUGUCUUUAUGUUUGAUACCUGUUUUUCUCUUCUUUAGCUUUUUUAGUUUUAUAUACAUUCCUUCUUUGCUGGCUUCGUUAUUCUUCCUUGCUCUAAAUUUUGACUUCGGUCUGUUUAAAUUUGUUUUAAUUAAUUUCUCUAUAAUGACUUUGUCAGUCUGCCCCCUGAUCCCUUCUAUGGUCUCUAAAAAGGAUUUUUGGAAAAGCUUCAUAUAAAAAAGGCCUCUGCUUACACCCUGUGGUCUCUGGCUCCUGUGUGAUACAGAGGAUUUUUUUGUUGUUGUUUUUUAUUAUUAUUUUGUCCUGUAUUGUACUCAUGUAAAAGUGUUUUCUAGUGCUGUGAAAAGAGCAGUGCAAAUUAGCAAUUGUUAUGCAAUUAUUUUCUUUGUUAUAAAUGGAAUGGGCAUUUGUAUUACUCCUACCGCAUUGGCCUUUAUAGAUAUUUUCAUAUUCAUACUUGAUUUGAGGACAUAUAUAUUAGUAGAAAAUGUAAAACAGGUGGAUAUCCUUCUUCAAUGUUUCUUCGAAUCAAUUUCUAGAAGGUCUGAGGUAAGGUUAGUGUAAAUCUGCACAGUCAAUACAAAUGAUCAUUUGCAUAAUAAUUACGUUUUUCAUUAAAGUAAUAGGUACUUUUAGAUAAGCACGUUGAAGGAUGAGGAGAAAUAAUACCAACAGCUAGACCGUUUUAUUGAAGCUGUGUUUCCUGAACACAUUUCAUGGUCCAUAUAAAGGUAUAAAAACCACAAGCAGACAUAGUCAUCAUAAGUAAAAACCUAAAGUAAUAUCCACAAAAAGACAGCUGAGGAUCAAAACAUCAUACAGCAAUAAUCCAAUCCAAAAAAGAAAAAGAAAAAAACGUCUGGGAUUCAAACUGAUCUUUGCGCUCAUCUUUCUGUCAGCAUCAAAUUACCAGAUGGAGUUGCCUAACACUGAUAAAGGCUCUCUUUGGAAGAGGGUGAGAUGAAGGACAUUCUGUGACAUCUGAUGGUAUAAGUGUGACUCACAAGUGAGGAAAAAAAAGCCAUGGAAGCCGCCAAGAUAUCUGAACAGCAUUUGCCAUCAAUCCAUGUCUAACCAGAUGAACAGAAUGGGAUGGUGUACAAUAGUUUAAAUAUUUUUCCUUUUAACCCAGAUGGCUUUUAACCCAUUGAGCUUGCACUGCUUAUCAGACUGGCCAGUUACUGAAUAUUGCGUUUUAGAUCCAUUCUCUCAUUGAACUUGCAAUGUUAAUCUGCAGUCCAUGUUGAUGAUUUUGAUGUCAGUGGUGUAGAUUUACUCAUUAAUAUGUAAAAAAUAUGUCAAUCAUCACAGAAUGCUAGGAGCACAGAGGUUCAUAAUGCAGGAACUUUCAAAAGCAAAGAACAAUCACAGUUCGAGGACUGUGCUGCAUAAUUAGUGAUAUCAUUUUAUGUAUGAUGAGUAUUGGUAUGUAUGGGGCAGCAUGUUACGGAUAAAAUCUAAACUAUAUGGACAAAUGUCCGUGGGCAUCUAAUCAUAACACUUGGAUGUGAUUGUUGAACAUCUAAUUACAGAUUUAUCUCUCUUUUGGUGUUAUAAUAAUCUCAUUUUCCUGGGAUGGCUUUCCAUAAGAUUUACAGUAAGUGCAUGGCUUUAGGGAUUUGCCUAUUUAGUGACAAGAACAUCACCGAUGUAAGGUGAGGAGGUCUGUGGGCAGGUUGUGGGCCCACACUCAGGCAUAAUUUGGCUAAUCCACUGUGGCCCCGAAUUUCAUAGGGCCCAGUGGUCUGCCCUCAGUGGCAGUGACUUCAGCAAUAUGUGAAGUAUUAGCUAAAUUAUUAAAGUAUUGGACUUUUGAUUUUAAGGAUUUGAGUUAAAAUCCCAGCACUAUCAAG